UUUUCUCACACAGUGAAAGAUGCAUCGCAGAGCAGAGGACACAGACAACGGACCGACAGAUCAGAUCGUUGUUUGAUGUCUCUGUGCUGUGUGUCCUUUCCCGGUUCUGUUCGGUGUUCCAGUUCGGUGUCUUCGUGGAUUAUGUUCUGUGUCUGGAUUCAGCCUUCACCAUCACCAGCGCACUUUGACUCACCAGCUCACUCUGUUCCACGCUGACCAUCUCAGUCCCUGCGCCACCCAUCUCUCUGUUCAGUGACUGUCCUCAUUUAUUAUUGUCAAUAAACGUGUUAACUUGC